GUCCACGCCGUAACGAUGGAUACUAGCUGUUGGAAGCAAUUUCAGUGGCUAAGCGAAAGUGAUAAGUAUCCCACCUGGGAGUACGUUCGCAAGAAUGAACUCAAAGGAAUUGACGGGGCCCGCACAAGCGGUGGAGCAUGUGGUUAAUUCGAUGAUACGCGAGGAACCUUACCAAGGCUUAAAUGUAGAUUGACCGUUUUGGAAACAGAACUUUCGCAAGACAAUUUACAAGGUGCUGCAUGGUUGUCGU
rnacentral:rRNA from 1 species